AUUGAACGCUAGCGGGAUGCUUUACAUAUGCAAGUCGAACGGCAGCGCGGACUUCGGUCUGGCGGCGAGUGGCGAACGGGUGAGUAAUGUAUCGGAACGUGCCCAGUAGCGGGGGAUAACUACGCGAAAGCGUAGCUAAUACCGCAUACGCCCUACGGGGGAAAGCAUGGGAUCGUAAGACCUUGCACUAUUGGAGCGUCCGAUAUCGGAUUAGCUAGUUGGUGAGGUAACGGCUCACCAAGGCGACGAUCCGCAGCUGGUUUGAGAGGACGACCAGCCACACUGGGACUGAGACACGGCCCAGACUCCUACGGGAGGCAGCAGUGGGGAAUUUUGGACAAUGGGGGCAACCCUGAUCCAGCCAUCCCGCGUGUGCGAUGAAGGCCUUCGGGUUGUAAAGCACUUUUGGCAGGAAAGAAGCGUCGCGGGCUAAUACCCCGUGGAACUGACGGUACCUGCAGAAUAAGCACCGGCUAACUACGUG
rnacentral:rRNA from 1 species